ensembl:lncRNA
CAGAGAUCUCAAACAGCUUUUUAUUACAUUUCUUCAAUCAAUAACAGUACAAUUUAGUACAGUAUCUAUCUUGCAUCCAGCUCACCGUGUAACACCAACAGAAUGAAAUGAAAUACAAAAAGUGAAAAGGGAAUCCAUCUCAGUUGAAUUGCAUUUUCACUUGUGGCCACACACGAAUACAUCACAUUUAUUGUACAUCAUCGCAGAACAAAGAAAAUUGAAAAUAUGUCACAACUUUAACAAAAGUGCUUCUGUAUACAGUGAAAUGUCAUUCAGAUGCUCUGAUUUUCAAUUUAAGACCAAGAAAACAAAAUGUACAAAAGUCUAAGUAUGGACUGUAUGCAAGGACGUUUUUGUUCCAUUGAGAGUAAAGAUUUGGAGGAGAGAUGUUAAGGAUAGAAUUCUUACAAUGAUUGUAUUCAUUACAAAAUUGGCAUCAAUAGAACUGGUAAGCAUAAUUUACACUAAGUAUGCAGUUAUUAAGUCUCCCCAUCCUUGCUUACUCUGGUGCAUGUGGUUACCAGUAUUGGUACAUUAUGAAUGUAGAAUUUGAGCCAAAAUGAAAUUGGCGUCUAAGUUCAAUCAGUCGUUUACUCUCCUUUUCAGGAAAAAAAAAAAUCUAGGAUUUUGCACCAUUGAAAGCAAGUCUACAGCAUGCACAUCUAAAUCAACCCAUGGCAGACAAAAUUAAAAUGUCUUAACUUAAAACAUCAGACCAUUAUUUUCAGACAUUGAUUUGUACAUUUCAUUCACAGAGUUGCAACUGCAGUCCCAAGCAAAGGAAGUGUCUAUUUAGUCAGGUGAGGUGUUUCACUCAAAAGGGGACACUAAACACAACCCCCCUCCCCCCUCCUUCCAUAUAAGAAAAUCCACCCAUGCCCAGUUGAUCUCAGCAACUACCUUGCUGUCCCACCCCUUCCCAUCCAAAGUCAAAGGCAUGUACAAGAAUUAAGGGGGUUAACUGGACAAGUUACUCGUAAUAACUCCUUUUGUACUGGAAUGAGCAUUCAUAACUUAUAGCAUGUGCUUGGUUAGUUAACAUAGUAUUAGUUCAGAGGCAAAGCUUCUUCAUGUGCAAAAGGCUGUGAUGAAAGAAAAACGGCUAGUAUAUAAAUACAUCCUGGACACGUUGAAAGCUGCUCGUGUAAUAUGAUCCAAGCUUUUACUUGCCGCAUGUUUUCCGUCGUCUGUUUUAUAUGAUUUAACUGGAUUAGAAAGACAAGCUGUAAUUCAAACAUAUCUAAAACCACUAAAGAAAUGUGACAAAAAGAAAGCUAUCAAGAUUAACAAACCAUCAGAAUAGAAUAAAAAAAGAAAAGAAAAAGUUAAAUAAUUUGUACAAUUACACUCCAACAUUUGCUUUCGAGACGCACACAUUUGCAAGGGAUGAUAGUGUUGUUUUCUCUUUCAUGGUAACAUAAAAUGGUCCAAGAAGAAAUGCACAAGUUUCUGAUUUGAUACCACAAGAGAUCCUUUAACUAGGUGAUAAACAUUUGUGCUCUUCUUUGUGUAGGAAAGGCAUUGGUUUCCCUUCGUUUAUGUGGUGUCCAAGUCAGUUUAAACAGUGUUGAAGAUGCUGUGGACAUUCUGAAGUUGUAAUAGUCUUCCAGUCAACUUUGGAGUUAAAAGAACAUCUGGAAAGCAAAGACGAACAAAAUUGAGAAUUCAACUCAUCUCAUUUGAUAUACAGUUGUAGCCAGUUGAACCUUCUGUAAAUGUUAAAACCUAAUUGUAAUUGGGAACAAUCUAAAAAACGGAGGUGUCUAAUAACACCGUAAAAAUUAUUGUGGACAG